AUUGAACGCUGGCGGCAGGCCUAACACAUGCAAGUCGAGCGAGCGGCGGACGUGUGAGUAAUGUAUGGGGACUGCCCUAUAGAGGGGGAUAACUACUGGAAACUGUGGCUAAUACCGCAUACUAUCGGAUAACCCAUAUGGGAUGAGCUAGUAGGUGGGGUAAAGGCUCACCUACGCGACGAUCUCUAGCUGGUCUGAGAGGAUGAUCAGCAAAACUGGGAAGGAGACACGGCCCAGACUGCUACGGAGGCAGCAGUGGGGAAGAGUGCACAAUGGGAGCAAGCCUGAGGCAGCCAUGCCGCGUGUAUGAAGAAGGCCUUAGGGUUGUAAAGUACUUUCAGCGGGGAGGCGUUACCCGCAGAAGAAGCACCGGCUAACUCCGUGCCAGCAGCCGCGGUAAUAC
rnacentral:rRNA from 1 species